rnacentral:rRNA from 1 species
UACGGGGGGGGCAAGCGUUGUUCGGAAUUACUGGGCGUAAAGAGCUCGUAGGCGGCCACUCAAGUCGAAUGUGAAACCUCGAGGCUCAACCUCGAGCCUGCAUUCGAUACUGGGCGGCUAGAGUCUGGUAGGGGGAUCUGGAAUUCCUGGUGUAGCGGUGGAAUGCGCAGAUAUCAGGAGGAACACCGGUGGCGAAGGCGGGAUCCUGGGCCAGUACUGACGCUGAGGCACGAAGGCCAGGGGAGCAAACGGG